GACGUAGGGUCCAAGCGUUGUCCGGAUUUACUGGGCGUAAAGGGCGCGUAGGCGGUCAGCACAAGUCAGUUGUGAAAUCUCCGGGCUUAACUCGGAAAGGUCAACUGAUACUGUGCGACUAGAGUGCGGAAGGGGCAACUGGAAUUCUCGGUGUAGCGGUGAAAUGCGUAGAUAUCGAGAGGAACACCUGCGGCGAAGGCGGGUUGCUGGGCCGACACUGACGCUGAUGCGCGAAAGCCAGGGGAGCGAACGGG
rnacentral:rRNA from 1 species